rnacentral:rRNA from 1 species
UGGGGAAUAUUGCGCAAUGGGCGAAAGCCUGACGCAGCAACGCCGCGUGGAGGAUGACGGUCUUCGGAUUGUAAACUCCUGUCGGGUGGAGCGAACGGGCGCUGGUCAAUAGCCAGAGGCCUUUGACGGUACCACCAGAGGAAGCCCCGGCUAACUCCGUGCCAGCAGCCGCGGUAAUACGGAGGGGGCAAGCGUUAUUCGGAAUUAUUGGGCGUAAAGGGCGUGUAGGCGGCUUGAUAAGUCAAAGGUGAAAUCCCUCGGCUCAACCGGGGAACUGCCUUUGAAACUGUCUCGCUAGAGGCCGGGAGAGGGUAGCGGAAUUCCCAGUGUAGCGGUGAAAUGCGCAGAUAUUGGGAGGAACACCAGUGGCGAAGGCGGCUACCUGGACCGGUUCUGACGCUGAGGCGCGAAAGCGUGGGGAGCAAACAGGAUUAGAUACCCCCGUAGUCC